AUGGCUGCAAUGGCCCUAAGGCUGGGCCAUACUGAGGCCAGGAGCCAAGAGCUUCUUCUAGGUCUCCCACAUGGGUGGCAGGGGCCCAAGCUCCUGGGCCAUCUUCUGUUGCUUUUCCCAAGUACAUCAGCAGGGAGCUGGACGGGAAGUGGAGCAACGGGGACUCCGCCGUUGUCCAUGUGGGAUGCUGGCAUCGUCGUCCCAGGAGGCAGCUUUAUGCGCUACACCACAACAGCAGCCCCUUCGUAUUCUUUAACUCCUUAUCCUCUUUGGGCCUACACUAAAAAUCCUCGGAAGAUGGCUUCUACUUCACCCUCAGGCAUGAGCUCUCUGAAGGCGUCUGCUCUGAGCCUGGAACUUCUGACCUGGAACACGUGCGGCCUCCUCUCAGCUGGUCCUCAGAAUAAAGCACAGAUCCCACGUCUGUUAGAUACAGCGAGGCGUAAUUGGUGGUGGCCAUAUUGGUCCUGUGGUUGUUUGCGGAGAGGCUACUCUUCCCCUCCCUCGUCCUUCUGCGUCUGCCUGCAGGACGAUGAGCCCCUCAUGCCAGCACCUGAAAGGGAACCACCCCUCGGCUGAAAUCCUGGGGUCCUGAUGGACAGCAACGGAGAGCUACUCCGCCCGGUGUCCUGUUUUCUGGCCCACCUGCCACGGAUUCCACAGUCGCCUUCACUCGAGUAGGCAGCCGCUCUUCAGACUGCGAAGUCAGGGUUGGCUUUGACUCUGAUGAAACCAUUGUGGAUAUGCCACACCCAUUUCCCAGUAGGCUGGCUUCGCACCUCCCCCUAAGAGCUUUUCCAGCUCGUUCCCUUUGGGUAACCUGGCAGGCUCUGCACAGUGCCCGUACCCAGUGACAGCUUAAAUGGUUCUGCAAUGACUCAAAGGCGAAACCAUGAGCUGGAACAGAGGGGCUGACAAAGGCGAUGGCGAGAAGCUGACAGAAAACGGAAGUAGGUGACUGAAACAGGACCAGAACCAUCCUGGCCACUUGGUCUAAAUAAACAGAUUUGACUGGCUUUGCCA
rnacentral:lncRNA from 1 species